rnacentral:lncRNA from 1 species
ACUGCUUCCAUCCAUCAGAGGUGGGAGCAGCUGGCAUUGAUAGUCAGAGAGCUCGCCAGCAAAGCAGUUUUUGCACAAAAUGCAUGUGCGUGAAAACAACCCUGUAGAUGGAGCAGAAUGGUGGAGGGUGAUGAAAUGGAGAAUAUUCCAGCCUGGGCAGGAGAACCACAGAUAGACCACGUAGUCAGGAGAAGAAUCACUAACUUUCAUUAUUACUCACACGGCAUAGAAACUGUCCACAGUUCCUAGGAAGAUUCCAGGUCAAAGUGCUUCCUGUUCUUUGGCCCAAGAGCCAUAUCCACUUACAAAUGGAAUCUUGAUUAAUUUUCCAUUUGUACUUGGGGCAUUUCCCUAAGCUCUUUGGUAAGCCUUUUCUUUAUUUACUUACUUUUGGUUUCU